GCAGCCGCCGCCGCAGAGCCGGAGCGGGGGCCGCCGGCGCCGGUCUUUCCUUUCCCCCUAUCCAGCAUCCCUCUCUACCUGCCAACAUCCUGUAUUAGAGAACUUGUGGCCGGAGGUGUGGCUGUGGAGAGCUGGCCGGGGAGGGACGCUGCUCAGCUGCUGCUCUGCUCCUGUCUCCUGUCCCCUCCCCCGGUCAUGACAGAGACCCGUGAGCCAGCUGAGACUGGGGGCUACGCCAGCUUGGAAGAAGAUGAUGAAGACCUUUCCCCAGGUAAGGUGGCCUUAGAGGUGGUGGCGUCGGCUUGACUGUCAUCCUGGCUUAGGGUUUGGCCCCCACUGGGAAAUGUUGAUGGGGAGUGGCUGCUUGUCUUGCUAGGGGUUCUAUUCUGACUGAGACUGCUUGUCCUAGUAGGGGAUCUCUUCCAGUCGGGACUUCUGGGGACUGUAGAUUGACUGGGGUCGCUCUCCUUGCUAGAGGUUCUAGAUUGGCUAUGAUUUCCUUCUUUGCUGGGGGUUCUAGAUCGGCUAUGAGCUUUCUCCUUGCUGGAGGCUCUAGGUCGACU
rnacentral:lncRNA from 10 species